rnacentral:tRNA from 1 species
AAUUUAAUAGUUUAAUAAAAACAUCGAUUUUGUAAAUCGAAAAUAGUGUAUCUUUAAAUUA